ACGCUUUAGUAGCCCAUAAGGAAAGAUUUGGGGCCUUACAAAGAUUAAGCAGUCUGCAGUACCGGCCCGGGUGAAUAUUCAUGAAAAUGAAAUAGAAAACAUAUGUUUGGUUUACAUAGACGAGUACUAAACCGAUGAUGGGAAAUUCAGAAUAUGAUCUGAUUUUACAAGUAGCUAGCCUUAUUAAUUAAUUACCAGCAGCAGCACUGCUCCACCGCCCAGCAGCAACAUAGCAUCGCCAAGCUACGUACGUAUCAAUAUAAAAUUCAUCAUCAAACUAUGCAUGCAUAUAUCCUUAUAUAUAUAAUUUAAAUGAAUAAAACAUAACAAGAAAAGAAAAGCAUACGUACCAUCCUCUGAGACGAGAGAAGAAGCCAGCCGAAUCAUCAUCAUAGCGACGUCGGUAUCGAUCUUGAUGCCACCCUGCCGGUACUGCCGAGGGAUGGUGGUCGAAGUAGUCUUGAUAUUGACGAUCAUGACUACCACCGUGGAACGGCGGUGCUGGUGCUCGAUCAUAUGGGUCAUCGUAAGUCAUCACCUGCGGAUAUCCAGAUGGAUUCGCUGGCCCUGGGCGAGGUGGAGGCGGCGGCUGCUCGUAGGAUUCAUGAGCAAUAUGUUGGUAGUUCAUUAUUCUAUAUGUUUUCCUCUGCUAUUAGUAAUCUUAAUUGAACGUCAAUCUAGCUAGCUAUCUCCAAUAUAGUAUAUGAGACCGAGUGUUUAUCUUCAGUCGGUUGCCAGUUCCUGCAAUGGAUAUAUGCGACCGAGUGUUUGUCUUCAGUCGGUUGUAUGUGGUUUCUCC
rnacentral:lncRNA from 1 species